UUGGGGUGUUUUUGGAUCAAGGUUAGAAAAUUGAAGCCGGUAGCGGCUGUGGAGUAUGGAAAUGUGGAUGGAGAGAGUGUGGAGGCGUAUCCCAUGGUGUUGGUGCAGAUCCCUAUGUGCAAUGAGAGAGAGGUUUACCAACAAUCUAUUGCAGCUGUUUGUAUCCAGGACUGGCCAAAGGAGAGAAUGCUUAUACAGGUUUUGGAUGAUUCUGAUGAGUUAGAUGUCCAACUCCUUAUCAAGGCAGAAGUGCAGAAAUGGCAACAAAGGGGUGUACACAUAUUGUAUAGACAUCGUCUUAUACG
rnacentral:misc_RNA from 1 species